rnacentral:misc_RNA from 1 species
AAGUCGUAACAAGGUUUCCGUAGGUGAACCUGCGGAAGGAUCAUUAUUGAAUAUGCUUGAUAGGUUGUAGCUGGCUCUUCGGAGUAUGUGCACGCUUAUCUUGACUUUAUUCAUCCACCUGUGCACCUUUUGUAGUCUUGGGGGUUGAGAUCAGUCGACUAUCGGAUGGCCAAGGUCAUUCCGGAUGUGAGGAAUGCUGAGUGCGAAAGCAUACAGCUCUUCUCAAAUGACUUGUCUUCCUCGAGUACUAUGUAUUCAUAUACCACAUAGUAUGUUGUAGAAUGUGAUCAAUGGGUCUAUGUACCUAUAAUAAUCAUAUACAACUUUCAGCAACGGAUCUCUUGGCUCUC